rnacentral:tRNA from 1 species
GCGAGAAUAGCUCAGUUGAUAGAGCGCAACCUUGCCAAGGUUGAGGUCGCGGGUUUGAGCCCCGUUUCUCGCUCCA